CGGCAUCUACUUGGUUUUGCGAUGAAGGUAAAAUAUGAUAGAUUUGGAGACAAGUUCUUUGCAAUUCAAGAGUUUAUUAUGUGGGAAGGAAAACUAAAAGAGGGGAUUAUAAUGGAGAUUGUACCACCAAAAUCAUCUAAAACAGAGGUCCGAAGGUUAAAAGAUGGCGAAACUAUUGGCAAGAGUACACAUUUUGAGUUUUUUUAAUUUUCUUGCGUAUACGAGUUUUCAUGAAGAAUUGAAUUGUUGGCUCAAAUUUGAGGAAAAAAAAUGUCCAGCUUUUUUAGCUUAAAAAGAUGGUGUUUGCUUUAAAAAAAAAAAUCGUGACUAAUGAGAAUGCGUUAAUGAGUGAUGCUAAUCUCAACCACCAUGUAUUUAUCGGGUAGUUAACGAACUUACAUUGUGAUUCUAUAGAAAGGUCGUGGCUGUAGCAAUAGUUAACCAUCGCAUCACUCGCUGGAUAAUUAGUUCGUAGAUAGACGUAUGGGGGUUGCUGGUUUUAAUGGUCAAGAUACUCAAUUUUUCCCAGUGGUGUAAAGGAUGCAAGUGGAAUCAUUUACACAGCAACUGUUGUCUCUGUUACAAUCUCCCAAUGUGGAGGUGUAUUUGAUACAUUCACAUAAGGGAUGAGCUUGGCACCAACCGGUACGGACCGGUAUUUGAAGUAUGCGAGAUGUUUCUCUUCAAAGCUCUAGGAAGAAACUAGAAUUGACGGGUGCUGGGGUUUUCUUGCGACGUCAGCCCGAAGCUCCAAUUGAGCCGGUUGAGAAAUGAGGAUUUUAACUAAAUAAAGUUAAUCAUGAUGAUGUGGCAUUGUGAAAUGAUGUUGAGUUGGAUCAACUUGCUAAUGGAGAAUUGGACUCGAAAGGGCGUUAGACUUUUAUCCGACUUGCAAUUAUCAGCCAUUGACACCAUCUAAUACUAUGGAGAAUGAUCCACAUGGAUAUGUUGUUGGUCUGUUGUUCUUAAAACAGAUGAAGGUGACCUUUGGACUGUUGUUGUGAGAUAGACGUCGUCCAGAUACCAAAUGUCUAAUGGUUGGCGUACUUUUGAAUUUCUUCGUCGUUCAAAAAAGUGGGUCAAUGCAAUGGUUUAGUGAGUUGGGUUGUUGAAAACAAGGGAAUGAGGAGUAUGUAUGUUGCAUGAAUGGAAAAGUGUGAAGAAUCAAUGUUUACAGCAUGGGUACAACUUAUGGAUCAUAAGAUUUGCUUCUUUCAGUAAUUCUUUAUUUGGCACCAUGGGUUCAUUUAUGAUUUAUUAACUAUUCGACUUCAGUCUUCUAUGGUUACCCCUUCAAGAGUGGUUCAGUAUGAUGAUGACGGUGAAAGAUGGAAACAAAUUGAUUUUGAUAAGCAAGGAGCGUAUUUAUUUAAAUAGGUGAAGAUAAAGAAGUGAGCGCAGAAUGCAUUGUGCUCAUGGGUGAGGGCGUACAGCGUGCAUCGCGGGGAGUUGAAGAGUAUAUUCAUUGUGAAAAAGCUUCAUUUGAGACACGUGGCGAAAAGUUUUGCACUGAAGGAGCAGCCGUCCGUCACUGGUGGGGAGAUCGGUUCAGAAGAAGCACACAGAAAAGAGGAAAAGGACACACAAAGUAAAAGAAGGUUUGAAAAAGAAGAGAAAGAUGGCAAACCUGGAGGAGGGAGAUUGAGUUGGCAAAUGAAUGGUGAAAGAUGAUUGAUGGUGAAGGUGCAAAUUGCAAGCAAGCAAGCAGCCGGCUGGCUGGAAGGAGAAUAGAAUGAAUGUUUUGACAACCACCAAAACAAGUAAUUAUAUUACAUUACUGAGAGUGAGAUGAUGGAUAAUGUUAUUUGAGUUUCAAUUGAUAAUUAGGUUCCUGUUAAUACUUUGCGUUUCUUAAAUUGGUGUAAUGUUUGGUUUUUAUGCAAUUGAAUUUGGUGAUUUCAAA